rnacentral:tRNA from 1 species
GGAAGUUUAGCCUAAUUGGUAAGGCACCAGUCCUGAAAACUGGCGGUAGAUUGUAUCUCCAUGCAGGUUCGAGUCCUGUAGCUUCCG